GACGAACGCUGGCGGCGUGCUUAACACAUGCAAGUCGAACGGAAAGGCCCUGCUUUUGUGGGGUGCUCGAGUGGCGAACGGGUGAGUAACACGUGAGUAACCUGCCCUUGACUUUGGGAUAACUUCAGGAAACUGGGGCUAAUACCGGAUAGGAGCUCCUGCUGCAUGGUGGGGGUUGGAAAGUUUCGGCGGUUGGGGAUGGACUCGCGGCUUAUCAGCUUGUUGGUGGGGUAGUGGCUUACCCAGGCUUAGACGGGUAGCCGGCCUGGGAGGGUGACCGGCCACAUGGGGACUGAGAUACGGCCCAGAGGCGUACGGGAGGCAGCAGUGGGGAAUAUGGCACAAUGGGCGGAAGCCUGAUGCAGCAACGCCGCGUGCGGGAUGACGGCCUGCGGGGUGUAAACCGCUUUCGCCUGUGACGAAGCGUGAGUGACGGUAAUGGGUAAAGAAGCACCGGCUAACUACGUG
rnacentral:rRNA from 1 species